rnacentral:rRNA from 1 species
UACAGAGGUCUCAAGCGUUGUUCGGAUUCAUUGGGCGUAAAGGGUGCGUAGGCGGCGCGGUAAGUCGGGUGUGAAAUCUCGGAGCUUAACUCCGGAACUGCAUUCGAUACUGCCGUGCUUGAGGACUGGAGAGGAGACUGGAAUUUACGGUGUAGCGGUGAAAUGCGUAGAUAUCGUAAGGAAGACCAGUGGCGAAGGCGGGUCUCUGGGCAGUUCCUGACGCUGAGGCACGAAGGUCAGGGGAGCAAACGGG